CAGCCGCCGCGGUAAAACGGAGGGGGCUAGCGUUGUUCGGAAUUACUGGGCGUAAAGCGCACGUAGGCGGCUUGGUAAGUUAGAGGUGAAAGCCCGGGGCUCAACCCCGGAAUUGCCUUUAAGACUGCCGAGCUAGUAGGUGAGAGAGGUGAGUGGAAUUCCGAGUGUAGAGGUGAAAUUCGUAGAUAUUCGGAAGAACACCAGUGGCGAAGGCGGCUCACUGGCUCAUUCUAGACGCUGAGGUGCGAAAGCGUGGGGAGCAAACAGGAUUAGAUACCCCCGUAGUCCCUGUCUCUUAUAC
rnacentral:rRNA from 1 species